CCAACAUGCAUCACAAGAUCUAUAUGGCUAGGGACCAACUGUAUAUAUAGUCAAACCAAAGCAACCUCACUAUGAGUAGUCGAGGCACCGCAGGUCAAAGGACUAGUCACACCAUCGUAGCAUCAAGUAUGUCACUGACAAGUGGGUAGAUAUCUAAGUGAUUACUCGUGUGGUCAUGCUCGAUACCAUUAUUCUUUAACAAUCACUUACACUCUCACUCC
rnacentral:lncRNA from 1 species